UACGGAGGGGGCAAAUGUUGUUCGGAAUCACUGGGCGUAAAGGGAGCGUAGGCGGGUUUUUAAGUCAGGUGUUUAAUCCCGGGGCCCAACCCCGGACAGGCACUUGAAACUGGGAAUCUUGAAUAGUGGAGAGGUCAGUGGAAUUGGGGGUGUAGCGGUGGAAUGCGUAGAGAUCCCCAAGAACACCCGUUGCGAAGGCGGCUGACUGGACACAUAUUGACGCUGAGGCUCGAAAGCAUGGGGAGCAAACAGG
rnacentral:rRNA from 1 species